UACGUAGGGGGCUAGCGUUGUCCGGAAUCAUUGGGCGUAAAGAGCGUGUAGGCGGCCAAGCAGGUCUGCUGUGAAAACUCGAGGCUCAACCUCGAGACGUCGGUGGAAACCGUUUGGCUAGAGUCCGGAAGAGGAGAGUGGAAUUCCCGGUGUAGCGGUGAAAUGCGCAGAUAUCGGGAAGAACACCCGUGGCGAAGGCGGCUCUCUGGGACGGUACUGACGCUGAGACGCGAAAGCGUGGGGAGCGAACAGG
rnacentral:rRNA from 1 species